AGCCGACCUCCGGCUGGCUCUGCAAACCGCGCCUGCCCCGCGCCCUUUCCGGACGCCCGAGCCCCGGCGCUGAGCGGAUUAAUGAAACACCUACUGUGUGCCUGCCCCCUUGCUCCGCGCCCCCGCGCUGUAGUGGUCAUGGCGCUAUUUAUAGGGGCUGGAUACUGCUCGCAGUGCUCGAUAUCCACUAGCUCGUUUAAGUUUCGCAGCCUCUCCGUCAUCAUCCCCAUUUUACGUAUGAGGAAACUGAGGCUCAGAGAAGAGUCCUUAUUCUCUGCAAUACCAGGAAGUACCCAGGUGUUACCUGUCCCCACACUGGUCCUAUGCCAGAAGGUGGAAUUCUCCAAUUGUCCUAAGAAGAUCUGGGCCCUAGGAGUUUGACUCCAUCCUCAAGGUCACAAAAUGGCUACUGGAGUGCCAGCCAUCAUACAUAUAUUCCAGACAGGAAGAAGAAGGAAGAAAACAAAAAGGAUACACACUGGAUUUUUGGGAGCUUUCCUGGAAGACCUGCCCUGCGACUUCUGCUUAUAUCUCAUCAGCCACCUUUAUACGCUUGGGAAGUGCGAAAUGAAGUCUCCUGGCUACUCACCUACUCACUCUGAGCAAGCUCUUGCUCAUCAUCCAAUCCCAGUUUCCUUUUACCUUAUUUGGGAUAUUGAAAGAUAAGGAUGCCUCUGAUGUUUGCAAUUGCUAAAAGCAAGUCAGCUUGGUUUCUGAAACAAAAUGCUUUAACAACA